rnacentral:tRNA from 1 species
GGGCUCGUGGUCUAGUGGUCAUGACGCCGCCUUCACGAGGCGGAGGUCCCCGGUUCGAAUCCGGGCGGGCCCA